UACGGAGGGUGCGAGCGUUGUCCGGAAUCACUGGGCGUAAAGGCGCGUAGGCGGCCUGAUAAGUAGGGGGUGAAAUCCUGCGGCUUAACCGCAGGGCUGCCUUCUAAACUGUCAGGCUUGAGCACAGUAGAGGCAGGUGGAAUUCCCGGUGUAGCGGUGGAAUGCGUUAGAGAUCGGGAAGAACAUCAGUGGCGAAGGCGGCCUGCUGGGCUGUUGCUGACGCUGAGGCGCGACAGCGUGGGGAGCAAACAGG
rnacentral:rRNA from 1 species